rnacentral:rRNA from 1 species
UACGUAGGUGGCUAGCGUUGUCCGGAUUUACUGGGCGUAAAGAGCGCGCAGGCGGUCGUUCAAGUCGAGUGUGAAAGCCCCCGGCUCAACUGGGGAGGGUCACUCGAUACUGGUCGACUCGAAGGCAGGAGAGGGAAGCGGAAUUCCCGGUGUAGUGGUGAAAUGCGUAGAUAUCGGGAGGAACACCAGUGGCGAAGGCGGCUUUCUGGCCUGGCUCUUGACGCUGAAGCGCGAAAGCUAGGGUAGCAAACGGG